rnacentral:lncRNA from 1 species
UUCCUGCCAGAAGAAACACAGAGUGUGCAACUUAGUACUCAGAGGAAAUCUUCUUCACUAGUUCAACUCUACUUUUCACACAAGAAUCAGAUAAAGGAAUUCAAAUAUCAACAGGGAAUGAAAAUAGUCAGGCACAAGCAAAUUCUAAGGUCACCCAUCAAUAAAGGCUAUCAUUCUUCUGGCUUGAUAUGCAUACAAGACCCAUGCUUUAACUCCAUGGAAAAUCACUCAAUAAGGCCAAAACCAAACUUCAAAUACAAAGACGUGUUCCUUCUCUCCACAAUCUGCCAUUUCCUUCAAAUAUUAGAUUGCAAAAAGACUCAUAUUUUGCCUAUUCUGACUAAUAUAACAUUCCACAUAGAAUUAACAUUCUUAUCCUAAUACUAACAUUUACAUACUAUAGCAAAUUACUUACAUUUGACAAAAAAACUCAGAAAAGUGAUAAAAUGCAAGCUGUUUUUCUUGAGUUGCACAGUGCUUCACAAUUGUUUGGUAUAAUUUAAUGAUAGCCAUAUCACAAACCAGAAGAACAACAACCAAAUCUCAUACGCACAAGUGCAAAGAACAACCCAAAAAGCCAAAUCAUGGAGAACAACAUGGAUUGUAGAACCCCAAGAAAUCAGAACAAACACUUAGCCCCACAAGGACUAAACUUUCACUCUAGUUUACUCCUCUUCUUCCACAGUUGAAAUCACUGCAAAAGUGUUGCACGACAUGCUGAAUGAAAAUAAUAAACGGCGUGGUGAGAUGAGAGGGAAGAUGGUCAAAAGAAUCUCAGUAUAUUCUGGUUGUCUACAAUACCCUUAACAAGAUAAUCAUACAAAACAGAGUUUAUAAAUAACAUUCUUGAUCCUCAAACACAACCAAUUAUGAGUAAGAAGUUCAUUUUGAUAGGUUUUAGAGUAUAAAAUGCAAAAAUCAACUCGGACCAAUCAAACCACACAAGAUUCUUCACUGACAAUCAAAGUUAAAAGACAAACAACAAAUUUUACUUCCAACUUUCAACACAAGUUUUUUUCCAACUUUCAACACAAGUUUUUUUUCUUAGUAAUAACUAUUAACUACACAUUGGUUUAACACAAAUCUCUUUCUUGGACCAAAUCACUCAGUAGACCGAUGGCACAACCCAAACUCACAUGCAAACAAAAACAUAUAAAAUUGUAAUCCCAGUUGAACAAUAACAGAACCAUAUCAAAUGAAUUUUAUGUGAACCCAAAACGGAAAUAAUCUCAAUCCAACCAAGAAGUCAAACAAAUUAAGAAACC